AUUUCAACUGCUGUAGUACCAUUUCCAGUGGGUAAGUUUAAACAAUGGUAUAUUUAGGUCAUUUAGGAACUAGACAAGAAGUCUGGGACAUCCAACCUCAUCUAUCUAAGGACAUCCUACAAAUACAAUUUACUAGCACUUUAUUACUCCAGUUUACUAGCAGCUACUCAGGGCCAAGAGGGAAGUAGAUGCACAGAAGUGGAAAACAUCAGUCUAAUUAAAGUCUUAAGUAACUACAGUAUUUCUAAACCACUGGCUGAGCUGAACAGUGCUGAUAUUCCCUUCUUCCAACUUUCACAGUACAUAGCCAUAACACCAUAUGCAAGGAGAGAUGUGAUCUGGACUGACAGGGAGCAAAGCAUCUGCCAUGUAAAACAAGGAGGUUUAAAAGAAGUCAGCCCAAUGCAAUUUUGAAACAUAACUGAAGAAAAACACUAGUGGCAUGGGAUGCAAAGGGAUGAUUAAGCAGCUGUCCAAGGAAAGAACAAAAAUGACCUUACCAACUUUGUAGUGUACGCAGCCUUCCAGGUCACCCACAGACACCCAGCCUUGUCGCUUCUCAACCUCUGGAUCAUUGCGCAAAAUCUUAUUUCUCAGCCAUGACAGGUAAUAGACUCUCAACUUAUUCUUUUUCCCUGAUAUAGUAAUUAGCACAUUGAGUCCUUCCAGAACAUCCAUUUGCUGGAAUCGUCUCCUUGUAAUCAGUGAAUAAACUCUUCCUUGCCCACUUCUGUCCAGAAGCCACAAUCCGUUCUCUGUUCCCACCAGUAAAUUCACUCCCCACAAAGCAGC
rnacentral:lncRNA from 1 species